rnacentral:rRNA from 1 species
UACAGAGGUCUCAAGCGUUGUUCGGAAUCACUGGGCGUAAAGGGUGCGUAGGCGGCGCAGCAAGUCAGAUGUGAAAUCCGGAGGCUCAACCUCCGAAAUGCAUCCGAAACUGCUGUGCUCGAGAUCUGUAGAGGGACUUGGAAUUCUCGGUGUAGCAGUGAAAUGCGUAGAUAUUGGGAAGAACACCUGAGGCGAAGGCGGGUUGCUGGGCUGAUACUGACGCUGAGGCGCGAAAGCCAGGGGAGCAAACGGGG